UACGUAGGGGGCAAGCGUUGUCCGGAAUUAUUGGGCGUAAAGCGCGUGUAGGCGGCCAGAUAAGUCCGCUGUGAAAUCUCGAGGCUCAACUUCGAGCUGUCGGUGGAAACUGUCUGGCUAGAGUCCGGAAGAGGAGAAUGGAAUUCCUGGUGUAGCGGUGAAAUGCGCAGAUAUCAGGAAGAACACCCGUGGCGAAGGCGGUUCUCUGGGACGGUACUGACGCUGAGACGCGAAAGCGUGGGUAGCAAACAGG
rnacentral:rRNA from 1 species